GGCUUCGUGGUGAAGUGGUCAGCGCACUCGGCGCAUAUUCUAGAGGUCCGAGGUUCGAGUCCUUGCAAAGGCA
rnacentral:tRNA from 1 species